GAUCAUGGCUCAGGAUGAACGCUAGCGGCAGGCUUAACACAUGCAAGUCGAGGGGCAGCGGGGAGUAGCAAUACUCCGCCGGCGACCGGCGCACGGGUGCGUAACACGUAUGCAACCUACCUUUAACAGGGGCAUAACACUGAGAAAUUGGUACUAAUUCCCCAUAACAUUCGAGAAGGCAUCUUCUUGGGUUAAAAACUCCGGUGGUUAAAGAUGGGCAUGCGUUGUAUUAGCUAGUUGGUGGGGUAACGGCU
rnacentral:rRNA from 1 species